ensembl:miRNA mir-258.1 miscRNA
GGUUUUGAGAGGAAUCCUUUU